CCAAUUAUCACUAUCCUAGAAAGAACUCAUGGGAUGUAAGUUGGUUAAAAUAGCAGCAACCAACCAAGAAGAGGACGACCGUCAUUUUUUUCUCCCUGGAAAAAGCAAUUUAUUUAAUGGAAAAUUCCAAAAUACAUGGCAGCUGUUUCCAUUCAGUGUCCUUUGCUACAAGUCCAUGUGCUUAGAAAAAGGAACUCGGGCUCUUUAAAAACGGCAGACCACAGGCUUUCCUCGUGAAGCUCUUCACUUUAUCAGGAGCCCCUCUCCGAACAGUGGGUCCUUCCUGCUGGGCCCUGCGAGGAGGCGGCCGCAGGAGUCUAGGUGAGAGCCCACUGCCGUGGCCUUGACGUGUGGGGCACGGCGGUCCCUCCAUCCGGCAUGGGGCCAGAGGACCUACAGAAAGAGGGCAGGACUUCAAAACCUUCAAGAGGGAACAACACUGAGCUUUGGGAACAGCAUGCCUGUGGAAAUGCUGCUUCUAUCCAGUCCUGAUCGCUGGACCCCUGUGAGGAUGGCUUCCACGAAGCGCUGUUCCAGAAUAGAGGCAUUACCAGCUUGAAGAUGUGCAGUUGGUCAAUGUGCUUUACUUCCCCAAACAUGCCAUGACCCGACCUGCCCACCACGAACAGCUGAGAGGUUAUGAAGACUGCGGCUUCCAUCUCACACGGGCUCUGUCUCUGUGGUCACUCCGCUGGGGGAAGCAGGUGCCCUGUGACGAGCAGCCCUACAGGGAGGGACUGUGGCCCUGAGACCAACGGCCCGUGAGGCACUGAAGCCUGCCAGAAACCACACAGUGAACUUGGAAGUGGACCCUUCAACUCCAACUGAAUCCUGAAGUGAUUAUAGCCCUGGCUGACACCUUAACUGCAGCUUUAUGAGAUGCUCGGAGCCAGAGGCACCCGCUGGUCAUUUCUAGAUCCCUGAUGUCUAGAUACUGUGAGAUAGCUGCUUGUUAUUUUCAGCCACUAAGUUGUGUGAUUUUUUUUAUUAAACAGCAGUAAAUAAUGAAUAUAAGGUGUUCUGCGACUUCUAAGCCUAGGCCCUCACCUCCUGCAUCCCAGAGGCCAGCCCUCAUGCUAGAAGCACAAGUCACGUGGAGAAGGACCAACGUGCCCAUGCUGACAGUCUCAGCCGAGCACCCACUACGAACUAGAAGAUAGACUCCAGACAAGCCACCCCAGCCGGCUGCCAGCCAUUCAUGCCACUCCAGCCAAGGCCCUAGACAUCUUGGGACAGAGAUGAGCCAUCUUCUCCAUGUCUUGCUGUAUUUCUGACCCACAGAAUCACUGAGCAGAUAAAUGGGUUGUUUUGAGCCACUCAAUUUUGGAGUGGUGUGUUACACCACAAUAAAUAACCCAACAACCACUAAUUAGUAGGCUCUGCAGUAAGAGGUAACAGGCCACGCAGGGUGCAGGUCUGGGGCUUCGGGCCUGUAUACCACGCACCAGUGAUUCCUUCAUGAACGAUGGACAAACUGAACAACUGGUGACUUUGGGAGGCAGAGAAUGAGGUGCAUAAGGAAACACUAUCCCAUUGCCAUGAUCUAAAACCCCAAGUCCACCACUUAAUGUCCUGGAAAUGUGAGCCGUUGGUUAGAAACAACAGGUUAAGCCAGGGUGAUCAAAGAAAUUCCCUGUGUAUGUCCUGUUGGAAUUACAAAUGCCCAAACUAAAAUGGCUCGCUAAUAUCAGUAUCUUGUUUGUUGCUAAAAAAAGGCAGCAUCAGUGUCUCCCAGCAUUAUUUAGCCAUCUGCUCACCCCAAGGGGAAGAACCUGCCAAAUCCCUGCCUCUAACAGGCCUAAAACAGAACAGCCUUAUCAAACUGAAUGAGUUAUAGCAAUGUCACAUAUUUAGAGAAAAGAACAGUACUAAUCACAUGAACGUUGCAUUGAUAAGGAGUUAACACUGCAACAAACUGUAAGAGACUUAGUGGCAGGUAGCAGAUGGCUAGACCACUAUGGAAAAGGCGUCCUUCCCCAGAAAAAAGUCUGUGAAGUGUGUAACUUUACAAUAAAGGCAGUCAUUUAUAUCAAAGCUCCCAGACCCCUCAGGAAGACCCCUCAGGAAGAUCAUUAGGAACCACACAACAUAACACUAUUCCUCUACCCGAGCAGAAGCGUACAACCAUCAUUCCCAAUGUCCACAAAUGAAGAGGAACAAGAAUGGGGAGAAAAAGUCCACACAUGUAGGUGUGACAGCACUGGUGACGCCGUCCUCCAAGACAUUUCAGACACAAGAAGACCUGACAGCAAGCAUAUGGACCUGGGAAGAGCAACCAAAUCCUGGUUCUCAGGUGCCAGCAAGCCACUGCCUCCUGGUAUCCCUAGCUUCUGCCCAGGAAACGUCACCAAAAAUCCAGUUGCCCAUCAGAUCCAAACAGUGGAAACUCACUAGUGGCCUAUUCAGGAAUACCGGAGAAACAUGCAUGAAUUAACACAGUCAUGUGAUGCCAAGUGAGGGAUGGGGCUAAUGCACUAGUAUGCAGUGUACUGUAUCCUGGUACCAGAUUCAUCUACAAAUGAAUACACUGAAGUCGGGGAAUAAAGAGUCCUGGGGCGAGCUGUGCAAUAAUGCUUUCACAGUCCAGCUGCAGUACAGACACCACGGGGCAAACAUUCAGCUAAUUUGUUAUUAAGCCAAACAGUAUUCUGUGUCAUCAAUGCUAGUCUCAUUAACAAUGAUGCCGAAAUUAAUAAAGUGCUUAUAGUAAAGCAGUA